UUCCAGAUGGUUAAGGCCCUGAGAAAUCAAGAAAGCAAAAUCCUCCAUGUUUCGAUGAGGCCUUAUGAUAAAAGGCCCCAUAGAAGUCGACGAUGUUCCGGUGGCCAGAUACAAUUUGCAGGAUUUCGACUUCUUUCUUGAUCUCCUGUUGCUUCUAGUUUCAAACAAAAGAAACAAGGACUAUGUAUAGUGAAGCCUGAUCUUGGCUUUAGUCUGCAUGUUUCUAGAAGGCAAUGAGAGAUGUUGAAGGUCUGAGAGGCUGUAACGGAGGCAAAAAAGUGGUGACCAACUGCCCCACUGAGCACUUGUGCAUUUGACAUUCAGAUGUCCGGUUCCAGGAUUUCUGGAGUCUCCUUAAUAAAG